GUCAGCUGAGGAAGUUAUAGGGUUAAGCAAGCAGGAACACGAUGCUCUGCUACUAUAGACAUUCAAAUACAAAACAAGUUUUUUUUUCCAGUUUUGAAAUAUAAAAAUCAGAUGAAAAUUGAUAAAUGUUCUGUUUUUUGAACCACUGAUUUGCUCAUUAUUGUUUGUUUUCAUUUCAGCCAACAUGUUGUUUUUUCUCCUCUUUAAAAGACUAACCUUGUUUGUUGUCACCUUUAAGAAGGUCACCUCCCUAUUACAUGACCACACUCCUGGAGGAAAGCAAACUUUAUAGCUUAAAAUAAGCAUAAACAAAAUCAGGAAAAUAGAGGAACAAUAGUAGUGAUAAAAUCACUGAAUUCAGCUUUGUUGAGGCACUUAUAAAGCACAGAGGCCUUCAACACAGAUCUCCUGAGAAAGCUGCUGUACAUCAUCUGAGCGCCGGUAACUAACAGCACCAACCUCCGAGCGGCUCUUCAGGCUGCUCCUCUUGGGUCUGAACAGGACAUCCUUGAAGUCCAGCUUGAGGUCUGCGUCCACCCGAGGCAUCCUGGAUGCCCACAACACUGAUGCUGAGACUCUCCUGAGGAAGGCUGCAGCAGCUGCGGUGGUCGCCGGUGCCGAGCCCCAGCCACCAAACCCGAACCUGCAGGCGGCCAGCGUAUUUAAAGCAGAGGGGAAUCCAGCCCAGUUCUAGCCCCCAUGGCUUUAUUUGGGCCUGGGCUCUCUCCCUCCCUCUUCCUGUGUUUCCAUCCUCUCCUCCAGCCUCGCCUGUCUUCCCCAGCCCCCACCCUCUCCUCCGGCAGAGUGGCAGGAGCAGCGGUUUCUGAGCCCGGCUGUCCCAUCCACCGACGCUGGCUCACACACACUCAAACUCUCUCUGGCACACAUAGAGAGAGUAACACUGCAGUGGCUUUUAUGCUGCAGUGCUAAGAGCACACCUGCUGUCCAGCUGGGGCAUUGCUUCUUCCACUGCUAGGUGUCAAGACAGAGCGGCAUGGAGAUAAACACUAAUGGAAAGACCAUGAGUGAAGUAUAAAAUAUGCUUUUUUAUAUGGCCAUAAAUCUGGGCCAAAAAAUAUAUACAGUAUACCUUGCUCAUGUAAAUCCAUCUUUGUAAUAUUGUAAAAUAUUUCAUUUCAAGCAGUUGAUGAACAUUUUAUUACAUAUAAGAAGAAAAAACCUCUAUGCAUCUCCUGAUUCAUAGGAGAAAAUCCUUGGGAUAGUCUUUACAUUUCAAACUGAUUGGACAGUUGCCAGUGAAACUGGCCAAUCAGAAGAAAGACUGUUUUGUUGCAUAUUAUGUCCCCAUAUAGUCCCUAAAUAGGACACAUUGUCCUAAUGUUGGAAGGCCCACUCCAUAUAAUCUAAUAACAUACAGUAUAUUCAUUUGAAAUGGCUUCUUUCUUUCCAGUAAAAAAAAUCAUAAAUUUUUGUGUUAUUGUUGCUUGAUAUAGAUGGUACUUUUGUGACAGCAGAUCAUAUUGAUUGAUAAACUGGAAAGUCAGGUUUUAUUCUCUGCUGUGUUACAUGGUUCAAAUCUAUGAUGACAGACUUAGUUGAACUACUUUCUAUUAUUUAGAUUUCUAAAUGACCUUGUGUCUCUCUGGAAACUUUCAUGUAAUAACAAAAUGUUUUCUGUUGUUCAGGUUACACAAAGAACUACAAUGUCUCCUAUUAUAAUUACUUGCUACGACAGUUUGUGAUGACAUGACCACAGACUCUUAGACAUGUUGUGUGAGGGUUCAUCAAACUGAUUGAUGAGCAGAAACUGGCAUGGAAGGUUAUCAUUUCUGUUCAUUUGCUUACAAUACAAUGCUAAUCUAAGAGUGGUUAUUUGGAUGGUUGCCUCGUAAAUGUAGGAAAACAGCUGUAAAGUUUAAUAUUUAGUAUUAGAAGAUAUUUUUGACGUUACAAAAAUGAAAAUGAUCAAACACGGUUGAUUCAAGAACAAAAGUUUCUAAAGAAAACAUCUUUAGCCAUCACUGAUUGAAAGUUUUGUUUAGUUACUGAAGUUAAUAGUGCAUUCAUUUAGAAUGUUUAAAAAAAAUCAUUUCUUUCUAACCUAAAAUUGAACAAAAUUUUGGUUUUUCAAAAAAUAGCGGGUUUUUUUCAUCCUUUUUCAAAGUCCAGCGAAUGUUCAAAGUUCAACCGCUAGAUGUCAGCAAAGUUACAGAAAGCAGCUAAACGAAGAUCAGAACUCGCACUGGGGUCUCAGCCUUCACUGAAGUGUUUCCUGGAAACAAGCUGUUUCUUUGUUAAAUGUGUGUAAUGUGGCAGGAGAGCUGCUCAAAGCUGUCACUGAUGUAGAAGAACUAAUUAAACAGACAGAUGAACUGUGGUUCUAAAGCAGACAAAAGUAAUGAAUCAUAAUAAAGUUAUGAUUCAUCUCUCAAAUAAAGUUGGAGUUUACUUUAUAGUAAUAUAUAUUUUGUUUCUUACACUUGUUAGUAUUCAGUUUGUGAACGAAGCAAGCAAGUAAACUUCUCACACCUUUUUUGCAACUUGUAAAUUAGAAAAAUAUUAAUCUGAAUCUUUUAGCAUAAAUCCUAUAUUUUAAACAGGAACUGAUAUGAUAAGCAAAAUGAAAGUUAGCUGUCACAUUUUAAUUAACUAUGAUGUUUCAUAUUUCUAUAACUCAUUUUUGACCUUUACCCUAAUUUAGAAACUAAUUUUCUUUUAACUGCUGUGGACCUCUUUGGUUGUUGCUGAUACAUAGACAUAUGAGAGCAUAAAAUUCUGGUCUCAUAAGGACACUCAGACAUCUAAUCAAGCCUUAUCUCUGUGGAACUGAUAGGAUUUGAAUAGUCUACAGAUGUGAGAUAAGGCUGUUCCAGCCACUGCUGGACCACUGCUCCUCAGACUCAUGCAUGCCACUCCAUGCUGCUCUGAUAAGAUGCUAGCCCUUUAGCACUUUGGCUGCCAACAAAGCCAAUAGGAGAAGAGCACAGCAGCUUCGUACUGCACGUAUACUGUGCCAGGUUGCUGCUGGUGGAGUUUCAGGUGCUUCAGUGACAGAGAAAAUGGGUGGCAGUGGAGCGAUGAGAUGUCUCCGCAGGCUGUGUGUUUUAUUGCGUGCAUAAAAUGGGUCACUCUUAGCGUUUCACUAAUGUUUAACUAAUGCAGGUUUUAAUUUAAUGGACAAAACCUGCCUUGUAAUCAGUUUGUGAAUGUGAAAAACACCUUACUUAACAUCAUGUGACAGACUUAUCUAGGCCACGCUGCCUGAGAC